GAUGAACGCUAGCUACAGGCUUAACACAUGCAAGGCGAGGGGUAACGAGAGGAAAGCUUGCUUUCCUUGUCGACGACCGGCGCACGGGUGAGUAACGCGUAUCCAACCUGCCCCCAACUAAGGAAUAACCUUGCGAAAGUAAGACUAAUACCUUAUAAUUUCCUCAGAUGUCAUCUGACGAGGAAUAAAGAUUUAUCGGUUGUGGAUGGGGAUGCGUCUGAUUAGCUUGUUGGCGGGGUAACGGCCCAACAAGGCAACGAUCAGUAGGGGUUCUGAGAGGAAGGUCCCCCACAUUGGAACUGAUACACGGUCCAAACUACUACGGGAGGCAGCAGUGAGGAAUAUUGGUCAAUGGGCGGAAGCCUGAACCAGCCAAGUAGCGUGCAGGAUGACGGCCCUAUGGGUUGUAAACUGCUUUUACACAGGAAUAAAGUUAGCCACGUGUGGUUAUUUGUAGGUACUGUAUGAAUAAGGACCGGCUAAUUCCGUGCCAGCCGCCGCGGUAA
rnacentral:rRNA from 1 species